AGAAUCAACGCUGGCGGCGUGCCUAACACAUGCAAGUCGAACGAGAAAGUGGGAGCAAUCCCACGAGUAAAGUGGCGCACGGGUGAGUAACACGUGACUAACCUACCCUUGAGUGGGGGAUAACCUAGGGAAACCUGGGCUAAUACCGCAUAAUACCUACGGGUCAAAGGAGCAAUUCGCUUUAGGAGGGGGUCGCGGCAGAUUAGUUAGUUGGCGGGGUAAUGGCCCACCAAGACAGUGAUCUGUAUCCGGCCUGAGAGGGCGCACGGACACACUGGAACUGAAACACGGUCCAGACUCCUACGGGAGGCAGCAGUGGGGAAUUUUGCGCAAUGGGGGAAACCCUGACGCAGCAACGCCGCGUGGAGGAUGAAGCCCCUUGGGGCGUAAAACUCCUUUCGAUCGGGAAGAUAAAUGACGGUACCGGAAGAAGAAGCCCCGGCUAAACUUCGCGCCAGCAGCCGC
rnacentral:rRNA from 1 species